rnacentral:lncRNA from 1 species
AACAAAUCUAAGACAAGAAUDUUGGGACGGAGGGAGUAUAUAUUAUUUGAUACUCCUGGGGUACUGUUGCGAUACAUUUUGGAGACGUGAAACCCCUCGUUCGACGUGAAAUCCCCUCAAGAGCAAGGGCGCACUUUUUGAAGAUUCCCAACAUUGAGGUGAAUUCAUGUCAAAAGGUGAUUCUGAAAGGUAAGCAGGAGAGAGCCGAUGCACCGAUUGAGAGCAUCAAACCUAGGGAAAUCCCACAGCCAACUGAUGGAAGUGGACCAAGUGCAAGAAAAAAAGGAAGGGUAAACCUAUAGAGGCAUGCUUUGACAUGGAAGCUCCUUAUAUUUUUUUCAUAUUUUUAAUAAUUAACAUAUAUAUAAACGUAUCCCCGUAUCCUAGUUUUUAGAAAUUUGGCGUAUCGGGCGUAUCCCCGUAUCAUGUAUCACGUAUCCAACUAUCCAUGCAACGUAACAUUACGGGAAAAGGGGUAUAUACAAGCCUUGCAUGGGCCAACCUAGACUAACAGGCCAAUACACAUGUGUACAAGAUCUGAGCCACCAAGUUUUAGGGUACGGAAGUAUGAAAGCUACUCCGUAUGUUGGUAUCCAUUAUGAGAAGUGAGCCGGUGAAGAAGUCUGUAACUUAAAAGUCUUGAAGUUCAUACAGCAAAUACUGAAGAUCGUUGACUGAGAAUGUGUGAAGGCGCCUUAUCAAAUUAUUGGAAGGGGAAGCCUUACACUAGGCCAAACGGGCCUACAGACAACUACACCUAAAAACUUCCAAUGAAAGAUAAGGUGUUGUGGACGUGAAACCAGCACGCUGAAAAUUCCAAAAGUUUGUCCUUUUUCUGGUGAUGAACCAGCCCAUUUUGUAUCAUGUAUGAUGUAUUUAGUAGUGUCAGUGGUAUANNN